rnacentral:rRNA from 1 species
GUGCCAGCAGCCGCGGUAAAACGUAGGAGCCUAGCGUUAUCCGAAUUUACUGGGCGUAAAGCGUACGCAGACGGUCUAGCAAGUCGGAUGUGAAAGCCCCGGGCUCAACCUGGGAAAUGCAUUCGAUACUACUAGUACUUGAGUUUGGGAGAGGGAAGCGGAAUUCCUGGUGUAGAGGUGAAAUUCGUAGAUAUCAGGAGGAACACCAGCGGCGAAGGCGGCUUCCUGGCCCAAUACUGACGUUCAGGUACGAAAGCGUGGGUAGCAAACAGGAUUAGAUACCCGGGUAGUCC